CCAGACUCCUACGGGAGGCAGCAGUGAGGAAUAUUGGUCAAUGGGCGGGAGCCUGAACCAGCCAAGCCGCGUGAGGGAAGAAGGUACAGCGUAUCGUAAACCUCUUUUGUCAGGGAACAAAGGCGGGGACUAGUCCCCGGAUGAGGGUACCUGAAGAAAAAGCAUCGGCUAACUCCGUGCCAGCAGCCGCGGUAAUACGGAGGAUGCGAGCGUUAUCCGGAUUUAUUGGGUUUAAAGGGUGCGCAGGCGGAGGCACAAGUCAGCGGUAAAAUCGCGGGGCUCACCCCCGCUCCGCCGUUGAAACUGUGUCCCUUGAGUGCGCGAAGGGUAGGCGGAAUGCGUGGUGUAGCGGUGAAAUGCAUAGAUAUCACGCAGAACCCCGAUUGCGAAGGCAGCAUGCCGGCUUCCGACUGACGCUGAAGCACGAAAGCGUGGGGAUCGAACAGGAUUAGAUACCCUCGUA
rnacentral:rRNA from 1 species